rnacentral:rRNA from 1 species
AUGUAAUGUAAUUCCUACAAUGUUAAUGCACCAUAUCCCAUUAGAAAUUCGUAGUUAAUUGUGCUUGGGCUAAAGUAGUAUUGGGAUGGGUGACCUCCUGAGAAGUCCUAGUGUUUUACAUG